CCUACGGGUGGCAGCAGUAGGGAAUUUUCGUCAAUGGGCGCAAGCCUGAACGAGCGAUGCCGCGUGAGUGAAGAAGGCCUUCGGGUCGUAAAGCUCUGUUGCGGGGGAAAAAAGGCAGCAUCAGGAAAUGGGUGCUGACUGAUGGUGCCCCGCCAGAAAGUCACGGCUAACUACGUGCCAGCAGCCGCGGUAAUACGUAGGUGGCGAGCGUUAUCCGGAAUGAUUGGGCGUAAAGCGCUCGUAGGCGGUAUGUCAAGUCAAGGGUGAAAUCCCCGCGCUCAACGUGGGAACUGCCUUUGAAACUGGCAAACUGGAGUGUGUGAGAGGAUAGUGGAAUUCCAGGUGUAGGAGUGAAAUCCGUAGAUAUCUGGAGGAACAUCAGUGGCGAAGGCGACUAUCUGGCACAUAACUGACGCUGAGGAGCGAAAGCGUGGGUAGCAAACAGGAUUAGAUACCCUAGUAGUC
rnacentral:rRNA from 1 species